CCUACGGGAGGCUGCAGUGGGGAAUAUUGGACAAUGGGCGAAAGCCUGAUCCAGCCAUGCCGCGUGUGUGAAGAAGGCCUUCGGGUUGUAAAGCACUUUCAGUGGGGAAGAAAGCCUUGGGGCUAAUACCCUCGAGGAAGGACAUCACCCACAGAAGAAGCACCGGCUAACUCCGUGCCAGCAGCCGCGGUAAUACGGAGGGUGCGAGCGUUAAUCGGAAUUACUGGGCGUAAAGCGCGCGUAGGCGGUCUGAUAAGCCGGUUGUGAAAGCCCCGGGCUCAACCUGGGAACGGCAUCCGGAACUGUCAGGCUAGAGUGCAGGAGAGGAAGGUAGAAUUCCCGGUGUAGCGGUGAAAUGCGUAGAGAUCGGGAGGAAUACCAGCGGCGAAGGCGGCCUUCUGGACUGACACUGACGCUGAGGUGCGAAAGCGUGGGUAGCAAACAGGAUUAGAUACCCGAGUAGUC
rnacentral:rRNA from 1 species